UACGUAGGGUGCAAGCGUUGUCCGGAAUUAUUGGGCGUAAAGAGCUCGUAGGCGGUCUGUCGCGUCGGCUGUGAAAUCCCGAGGCUCAACCUCGGGUCUGCAGUCGAUACGGGCAGACUAGAAUUCGGCAGGGGAGACUGGAAUUCCUGGUGUAGCGGUGAAAUGCGCAGAUAUCAGGAGGAACACCGGUGGCGAAGGCGGGUCUCUGGGCCGAUAUUGACGCUGAGGAGCGAAAGCGUGGGGAGCAAACAGG
rnacentral:rRNA from 1 species